AUGACCCCCCCCUCCCAAGGCCAGGAGACACCCCUCCCAAUCACCCCCCUCCCCCAGGCCAAAAGACAACCCUCCCAAUCCCUCCCCCCCAUCCUCAGCCAGGAGACACUCACCCCCCCCCAGGGCCAAAAGACACCCCUCCCAAUCCCCCCCCCCCCCUCCCCAGGGCCAAAAGACAACCCUCCCAAUCCCCCCCCCCCCUCCCCAGGGCCAAAAGACAACCCUCCCAAUCCCCCCCCCCUCCCCAGGGCCAGAAGACACAAUCCUCCCCAAGAGACACCCCUCCCAAUCCCCCCUAUCCUCAGCCAGGAGACACUCCCUCUCCUCCUCCCCCCCCCCCUCCCCAGGGCCAGAAGACACAAUCCUCCCCAAGAUACACCCCUCCCAAUCCCCCCCCCCCUCCCCAGGGCCAGAAGAUACACCCCUCCCACUCCUCCCCAAGAGACACCCCUCCCAAUCCUCCCCCCCUCCCCAAGAGACACCCCUCCCAAUCCUCCCCCCCUCCCCAAGAGACACCCCUCCCAAUCCUCCCCCCCCUCCCAAUCCCCCCCCCCCUCCCAAUCCUCCCCCCCCUCCCAAUCCUCCCCAAGACACCCCUCCCAAUCCUCCCCAAGACACCCCUCCCAAUCCUCCCCAAGACACCCCUCCCAAUCCUCCCCAAGACACCCCUCCCAAUCCUCCCCAAGACACCCCUCCCAAUUCUCCCCAAGAGACACCCCUCCCAAUCCUCCCCAAGAGACACCCUUCCAGAAGACCCCCCCAAUCCUCCCCCCCCCCCCCAAUCCUCCCCAAGAGACCCCCCCCCAGAAGACCCCCCCCCCCCAGGAGACACCCCCCCCCAGGAGACACCCCCCCAGGAGACACCCCCCCAGGAGACACCCCCCCAGGAGACACCCCCCCAGGAGACACCCCCCCAGGAGACACCCCCCCAGGAGACACCCCCCCAGGAGACACCCCCCCAGGAGACACCCCCCCAGGAGACACCCCCCCAGGAGACACCCCCCCAGGAGACACCCCUAGAUGCUGUGCUCAGAGCUGCUGUAGCUUAAAGCUCUAAUAUUCUCCAUGUGGCAGACAACAGAAAUCCAUCGAGGCUUUCACCUCAACUCAGACAGGGAUCUCCACCCAACUCUGGUGUAAAGAGGGCCACACGUGGUUUUUAAUACGCCCCCCCCCCCCCUCCCAAACUGCAAGUCUAUUAUCCUCCUGUUUAGGGUUAAAACAAAAGGAAGCACUAAGCACAUCUGGUUUCAGUACAGGGACGGCCUAGCAGUCGGUGUGUUGGCCUGUUACUAGUCCGUCCACACCACUAAGGAUUUAACUUCAUAUUGUACAACAAAACAGAAACUGGUGUGUAAUUCUAACCAGCUGACUCGCGUGAUGCACAGAAACACUUUUUUCCCUGCUACAUUGAGGGGUCUGAUAGUUUGUUCAGAUACAAAGCAACUGGUGUGGGUUUAACGUAAGGGAAGAUAGACAACAUAUGUUUUUAUCUAAUACUUGCAGCUAGAGUGACGUCCCCAUUGCCGAUCACACAGACCAACCUAACAGCUAGAGUGACGUCCCCAUUGCCGAUCACACAGACCAACCUAACAGCUAGAGUGACGUCCCCAUUGCCGAUCACACAGACCAACCUAACAGCUAGAGUGACGUCCCCAUUGCCGAUCACACAGACCAACCUAACAGCUAGAGUGUAGAUCAGAUACCCAUUCAUAUACAUUACUCCUCAGAGCCAAUUUGAGCUGCACUGCAGCAAGUCUCUUCAACUACAUGAUACAAUAUUCAUUUACCUUUAUAAUAAUAAUAACAGUCACUCUUUGCAGGGAUUGUGGGGAGUGGCUUGUUGAGUCAGUUGAAGGAAGAAAAGCUGGUGAUAAAAUAACAUGCUGCUCUGAUCCUUAUUCCACCUGUCUAGAGGGACAUCCUGUCUAGAGGGACAUCCUGUCAACACUGGAAGGAGAAGAGGAAUAUUAUCUAAACUUAAUGUAACAGGGUUGAACAACUGCAUUGAUUAUUAAAUGUCAAGGGUGAAACUGUAGUUUAAUCUGUGCUUUGGCUAAAAGCACAAGGAGCACAUAUCAUCAUACACAAUGUGAGAAUUAAAUGGUCGUAGACUACAUCCGAACACAGAGUGCUCUUUGACAAAUCAGAACUUCACUGACUAAACAGGCCAUCGUUGCAGCUCAUUCUGUGAAGGGGGUUUGAGUAAAAAGGGAAAAAUCUAAUCUCCAGUCCUGACCAGAUUCAAAACUUACAGAUGCAUCAGCUCACAUCGUCAACAUGUCAACCAGCCUUUUCAACUUGUUUUUAAAACAAUCAAUUAAAAAUUAAAUCAAGUAUUUACAAAGUGUACAGGGUGCCAAGAUGGUUUAGCUGUGGCACAUCAAGGAGAAUAAAGUGGAGUGACCAACUGCCCACCCAGAAGAACGUCAAACUGCAACAACACCCAUUUCUUCUCGUUUGCAUCGUACGGUAGGUAGAUAAGUCCUCCCAAACAGGAAGGAACCCCUGGAGAGUCCGGGAGGGUGGAGCUACUUAACGUUCCAGUUCUAGAAUCAGGAAGGAACCCCCGGAGAGUCCGGGGAGCGUGGAGCUACUUAACGUUCCAGUUCUAGAAUAGAUCAGUUCUUAGUGUUCUGAUUGUGAAGCUCGAGGGGGAGUAACGUUAGGAUCCUAAUGAACUAGUCUGCACUCUGGCUCGUUGAGCUGUCAUCUCCAUCCAGGGGCUUUCUCUGCCGUGGAUCAUCUUCAUAUAGUUGUCAAUAUUCUGGGGCACUGCAGCCAAGCCAGCAGCAGAACAUACAUCCUCCCUCCAUCCAACUAUAGAAAAACAGCCUAAACCUUGAUGCAAUGUGUCUUACUGAACAUCAAAAGUGGUAGGAUGGGUGUUGAUUCAAUGUGUGGAACAUAAAGUGAUGUUACGUGAUGAGUAACAUCGUGGGUGGACGGAUGUUUCCACAUACACGGAGAACAGGUUAUUACUUCAGAACAAGCUGCUUGUU
rnacentral:lncRNA from 1 species